rnacentral:rRNA from 1 species
AUUGAACGCUGGCGGCAGGCUUAACACAUGCAAGUCGAGCGGAGAGAGGUAGCUUGCUACCGAUCUUAGCGGCGGACGGGUGAGUAAUGCUUAGGAAUCUGCCUAUUAGUGGGGGACAACGUUUCGAAAGGAAUGCUAAUACCGCAUACGUCCUACGGGAGAAAGCAGGGGAUCUUCGGACCUUGCGCUAAUAGAUGAGCCUAAGUCGGAUUAGCUAGUUGGUGGGGUAAAGGCCUACCAAGGCGACGAUCUGUAGCGGGUCUGAGAGGAUGAUCCGCCACACUGGGACUGAGACACGGCCCAGACUCCUACGGGAGGCAGCAGUGGGGAAUAUUGGACAAUGGGCGCAAGCCUGAUCCAGCCAUGCCGCGUGUGUGAAGAAGGCCUUAUGGUUGUAAAGCACUUUAAGCGAGGAGGAGGCUACUUUAGAUAAUACCUAGAGAUAGUGGACGUUACUCGCAGAAUAAGCACCGGCUAACUCUGUGCCAGCCGCCGCUGUAACAC